UGCCGGGUUACAGAAGAGGCUUGAGCAGUCCUGCUAAAAGGUCUGAGUUUGCAAGACUUUUAGUUCUUUGAAGAUUUCAAAUGAAAUGUUUGA